rnacentral:rRNA from 1 species
UACGUAGGUGGCAAGCGUUGUCCGGAUUUACUGGGCGUAAAGGAUGCGUAGGCGGAUACUUAAGUCAGAUGUGAAAAAUCCCCGAGCUUAACUUGGGAACUGCAUUUGAAAACUGGGUAUCUAGAGUGUGGGAGAGGAAAGUGGAAUUCCUAGUGUAGCGGUGAAAAUGCGUAGAGAUUAGGAAGAACACCAGUGGCGAAGGCGACUUUCUGGACCAUAACUGACGCUGAGGCAUGAAAGCGUGGGGAGCAAACAGG